rnacentral:tRNA from 1 species
GCCUUCAUGGUGUGGUGGUAAGCACGCUGAACACGUAUUCCAGAGGUCCGUGGUUCGAGUCCCGGCGAAGGUG